ACCUGGGUGGCUCAGUGGGUUGAGCAUCUGACUUCAGCUCAGGUCAUGAUCUCACGGUUCAUAGGUUCAAGCCCUGCAUCAGGCU
rnacentral:tRNA from 1 species